rnacentral:lncRNA from 1 species
AUUUUAAAUCUCUUGAUCUAAAUAGUCUAUUGUAGCUUAGCUGGUCUUUGGACUUAACUUCCAGUAACCUGAAUCGGAGCAGAAGGUAGAGAAGCUGAAGAUUUGAGAACACUAAUAGAAAGUUCUGGCAAUGGGGAUAUCCAUAAACUACAUCUAAACUAUACAAUUAGUUUCAUAAGUGGUCAAAAAAGGAGUUCUUGGAAACAACUACAAAUACCCAACAUCUGCAACCGUAGAAGAACGAACAGAACUAUUUACAGAUAUUAAACAGACAAUAUCUAAAGUUCAAAUGCAUCGAAAGCUACAGCGAGAGGCUUACAACC